UGCCACGUAGCCAAGCGGUAAGGCUUCGGACUCUGACUCCGACAUUCGAUGGUUCGAAUCCAUCCGUGGCAACCA
rnacentral:tRNA from 1 species